UCCGUCUCAAAAAAAAAAAAAAAGAAGGAAAGGAAAAAUUCAGACCAAAGAACUUUAAAACUGGUCAUUAGGUAACGUAAAGCUGACUUUCUAUUGGGCUCAUGUUACACUCUUACAAGGCAUGAUUAUAUAUGGUGUGGAAAUUGUAUUCAGGCUAGUGUAAGUUACUAGUCUGGUACAAAGAAGGGAAAUGGCAGUUUGUAUGCAGGAUAGACCAUCAAAUGCUUUACGAAGGAGAGAACUGUUGAUCUGAUGCUCACACCAUGAAUAGGGCUUACCCAUUGAAGCAGGUUGGUUUGUAAAGAUAAAGGGAUGCCCAUUCAAAGGCACAGAGAUUAAGAAAAGUAUAGAGAACUGCAGGUAAUUCUGUAAAGAACCUAAAAACUAAAUCAGUAAAAGUAGACAUGGCUUUCAGAGAGGAGUCGUAACAUAGUUGAACAUAUAGCCUGCAUUAAAACUUUGGUCUCCUUUUGUAUCUGUAUGCUCGUGGAGAGCACAGAGUACUUAAAGCCAAUGUUAUUUUAAUGGAAUUUCUUCAGAUGCCGAAAGUUCAGUAUAAAUCGAACUGUAAACCAUCCACAUUUGCAUAUCCUGCCCCUCUGGAAGUACCAAAAGAAAAAGAAAAGGAAAAGGUUUCUACUGCUGUAUUAUCUAUAACUGCCAAGGCUAAAAAGAAGGAAAAAGAAAAGGAAAAAAAAGAGGAGGAGAAAAUGGAAGUGG
rnacentral:sRNA from 1 species